AAAGCUUAGAUAAAUCAUAAUCAAAUAUUGAUGUUGUCCUAAUCAAAUCCUAAUAAAAUUCUAAUAAUCUUAAUUAAACUCUAAUAAAAUUUUAAUCAAAUUCUAAUUUAAUCCUAAUCAAAUCUUAAAUAAACCUUAGACUAAACCUCAAUAAAAUCCUAAUGAAGUCUAAAAAAAAUUCUAAUCAAAUCUUAAACCAAAUUUUAAUCAAAUCCUAAUCAAAUCUUAGAUCAAACUCUAAUUAAAUCCUAACUAAAUCCUUGUUAAAUCCUAAACCAAAUCUUAAUGAAAUACUAAUCAAAUUCUAAUCAAAUCUUAUUAAAUCCCUAUUAAAUCCUAGACCAAAUCUUAAUGAAAUUCUAAUCAAAUUCUAAUCAAAUCUUAAUCAAAUCUUAGAUCAAAUUCUAAUUAAAUCCUAAUCAAAUCUUAAUUAAAUCCUAGAUAAAAUCUUAAUGAAAUUCUAAUCAAAUUCUAAUUAAAUCUUUAAUGAUUCUUAGACCAAAUUCUAAUCAAAUUCUAAUCAAAUUCUAAACAAUUCUAAAAAAAUCUUAGAUAAAUAUUAAUCAAUUACUAUAAUUAUUUUUAAAACUUCAAUAAAUAUUAAUUUAAUCAUUGAUUUUGAUUCAAAUUUUAUUCAAAUUUUAAUCUAUAUGUAAUUAAAAAUCAUAUUAAAUUUGAAAAGAAUCAAAUUCAUUAAUUAAAAGUAAAGCUCUCAAAACAUCUUGGAUAUUGGCCAUCUUCUUUCUUUAAUUUGAAUAUCGAUCUUCCUACAAUAUUUUUUCUUUGUUGAAUCAUUCAAUUGCUUUAAAAUUUUAUUGGUAUGUAGAAUUCUAAGUCUAAAUGGCUUUCAUCAAUUUUUGCUUCAAUCAAAUCCACAAAUGUUGCAAGAUAAUGAAAACUGUUACUAACUCUAAAAAUUAAUUAUCAAAGACCAUAAUCCACAAAAACUUUCAAAACCUUCAAUCUAACCAUUCAAUUAAUAUUAAAAUUUUCACACAUAUUUAAAAUAAGAAAAAUAAUGAAUUAAAAAAUUUCAUCCAUAAAUAUACUAUAAUACUUAUAUAAUACUUAAAUUUAUAAAUAUCUUUUUAUUUUUCAAAAUUCAAAUCCAUUGAGUACAUCUUUCACUUUGAAAAGCCCUCAAAACCUCAUAAUAUCUU
rnacentral:lncRNA from 1 species